rnacentral:rRNA from 1 species
GAUGAACGCUGGCGGCGUGCUUAACACAUGCAAGUCGAACGAUGAAGCCCAGCUUGCUGGGUGGGUUAGUGGCGAACGGGUGAGUAACACGUGAGUAACCUGCCCUUUACUCUGGGAUAAGCCUGGAAAACUGGGUCUAAUACCGGAUAGGAGCGUCCACCGCAUGGUGGGUGUUGGAGAGAUUUAUCGGUUUUGGAUGGACUCGCGGCCUAUCAGCUUGUUGGUGGGGUAAUGGCUCACCAAGGCGACGACGGGUAGCCGGCCUGAGAGGGUGACCGGCCACACUGGGACUGAGACACGGCCCAGACUCCUACGGGAGGCAGCAGUGGGGAAUAUUGCACAAUGGGCGCAAGCCUGAUGCAGCGACGCCGCGUGAGGGAUGACGGCCUUCGGGUUGUAAACCGCUUUCAGUAGGGAAGAAGCGAAAGUGACGGUACCUGCAGAAGAAGCACCGGCUAACUACGUG